ACAGGGCCCUGGUGAACAAACUCUGUAACUACAACACUCUUUCUGACCUUUGACCUCAUGUGUUGAUGACUGUUCACCUCUGUCUCCUCUCACAGGGAGAAGAUGAUCUGCAGGAUCCUGCUGCUCAUCAUCCUCACCUCAUGUGUCUCUGGAUCAUUUGUAGUCAAUGUGACACAGACCUCCUAUCAGGCAGAGGAGAACCACAACAUCACACUGGAGUGGACGUUCACCACCAAACCUGACAGAUC